AACGUACGCUGGCGGCACGCCUAACACAUGCAAGUCGAACGCAGUAGCAAUACUGAGUGGCAGACGGGUGAGUAACAUGUGGGAAUCUGCCUUGUGGUUCAGGACAACAUUGGGAAACCGAUGCUAAUACUGGAUAAGCCCUUACGGGGAAAGUUUUAAUGCCAUAAGAUGAGCCCGCAUUUGAUUAGUUAGUUGGUGAGGUAAUGGCUCACCAAGACAAUGAUCAAUAGCUGAUCUGAGAGGAUGAUCAGCCACACUGGGACUGAGACACGGCCCAGACUCCUACGGGAGGCAGCAGUGGGGAAUCUUGCACAAUGGAGGAAACUCUGAUGCAGCGAUGCCGCGUGAGUGAAGAAGGCCUUUGGGUUGUAAAGCUCUUUUGUAGGGGAAGAUAAUGACUGUACCCUAAGAAUAAGGUCCGGCUAACUUCGUGCCAGCCGCCGCCGUAA
rnacentral:rRNA from 1 species